rnacentral:rRNA from 1 species
AUUGAACGCUGGCGGCAUGCUUUACACAUGCAAGUCGAACGGUAACAGGGAGCUCGCUCCGCUGACGAGUGGCGAACGGGUGAGUAAUAUAUCGGAACGUACCCAAGAGUGGGGGAUAACGUAGCGAAAGUUACGCUAAUACCGCAUACGAUCUAUGGAUGAAAGUGGGGGAUCGCAAGACCUCAUGCUCCUGGAGCGGCCGAUAUCUGAUUAGCUAGUUGGUGAGGUAAAGGCUCACCAAGGCGACGAUCAGUAGCUGGUCUGAGAGGACGACCAGCCACACUGGAACUGAGACACGGUCCAGACUCCUACGGGAGGCAGCAGUGGGGAAUUUUGGACAAUAGGCGAAAGCCUGAUCCAGCAAUGCCGCGUGAGUGAAGAAGGCCUUCGGGUUGUAAAGCUCUUUUGUCAGGGAAGAAACGGGAGUGGCUAAUAUCCAUUCCUAAUGACGGUACCUGAAGAAUAAGCACCGGCUAACUACGUGCCAGCCGCCGCGGUAA